AUCUGAGUGAGGUUGCAGUUUCUCUGCGUCACAUACUCAAUGCUGGUGGACUCCAUCAGCAGCGCGUAGUCUGUGGUGGAGAUUUUUGAUUUCUGGAGGGAAAGAAAACACACUCACCAGCAGAAGAGGGCUGGAAAAAUACGACCUAAAGAUGAGGAAAUAGAACAGCACAUGAAGAAAUGAGGAAACCAGGAUUUGAU
rnacentral:lncRNA from 1 species